UAUUUAACUGGCUAAUUCUGAUAUCGAACGAGACUCUAGCCUAUUAAAUAGACGACCGAUCAUGUCGGUCAAUCUUCUUUGAGUGGAAAGCGGCGUUUA
rnacentral:lncRNA from 1 species